rnacentral:rRNA from 1 species
GAUCAUGCUCAGGAUGAACGCUAGCGACAGGCUUAACACAUGCAAGUCGAGGGGCAGCGAGGGAGUGGCAACACUUCUGUCGGCGACCGGCGCACGGGUGAGUAACGCGUAUGCAACCUGCCCUUCACAGGGGGGAUAACCGGGAGAAAUUCCGACUAAUACCGCAUACGUCCUUUGGGGGCAUCCCCUGGGAUGAAAGAGUUAUCGGUGAAGGAUGGGCAUGCGUGAUAUUAGGUAGUUGG